rnacentral:rRNA from 1 species
CCUACGGGGGGCAGCAGUGGGGAAUAUUGCACAAUGGGGGAAACCCUGAUGCAGCGACGCCGCGUGAGUGAAGAAGUAUUUCGGUACGUAAAGCUCUAUCAGCAGGGAAGAAAAUGACGGUACCUGACUAAGAAGCCCCGGCUAACUACGUGCCAGCAGCCGCGGUAAUACGUAGGGGGCAAGCGUUAUCCGGAUUUACUGGGUGUAAAGGGAGCGUAGACGGCAGCGCAAGUCUGGAGUGAAAUCCCAUGGCUUAACCAUGGAACUGCUGUGGAAACUGUGCAGCUAGAGUGCAGGAGAGGUAAGCGGAAGUCCUAGUGUAGCGGUGAAAUGCGUAGAUAUUAGGAGGAACACCAGUGGCGAAGGCGGCUUACUGGACUGUAACUGACGUUGAGGCUCGAAAGCGUGGGGAGCAAACAGGAUUAGAUACCCCAGUAGUC